ACUCUGGUGUCAAUAGAGAUACGAAAGAGGUUUAUUUGCACGUUCAAUAUCCAACAAUAGCAGUACGUUAAGAAACCGUUACUCCGAAACUGAACAGAACAAUGAAAAAAGUUGUCAUGGGUCGAGGUGUGGCGGACCCAAAUGCAGACUUGGACAACUGCGUAUCGAAACUCCCGAAGGAGAGAUUUAAUUCAAAGGUACACAAUACAGCAGGCAGUCUCGUAGUCAGUUCGUGCAAAGAUAAAAAAAACCAGAAAAAUCCACCGGGCUAAAAGUACAGAAUCGGAAGGCAAAACUCAGUCGUAAACAGGCGGGGGUCAUAACAGGAAAUCAGCAAAACAAAGUCGGCAGGCAAAAAUCGGUGGUCGGGUAAACAGGCAAGAUAAAAACACAAGACCCACUAACAAGAAGAAACCGCUGGAAAGGCACUAUAAACAGGAGGCACAACCUGGCAAGGAAGAACAGGGAAACAGAAAAUAUAUACCAAGGGAACCAGGGAGGCCAGUGUUCCUGGAGCUGUAUCACGGGAUCCUCGGGGUGGACUGAAGAGGUAUCUGCUGUUGAAAUACCUGCAGGUUUUGGUUCUUCCUCUGGGGAACGAGGUACUGUUGACUUUGGGGGCCCUGGCCAGCCUGUACACAGCCGUGCUCCUCCUGUGCUCCCCCCAUGUGUCCCGCAAGGCCUCCACCGUACUGCUGAGCCAGCUGCCCUGGGCAGAUGGCCUGGUGGUGGCAUGCUGGGGUCUUGGUGCACUAGGGUGGGCCGUGGAGGACCGUGGGGCCCUGGCCAAACUGGGGAGCGAGCUCUUGAGCGCCAACCAGCAUGCUAGCCUGCUGUUCCUCAGCUGCCUGAGCCUGGAGGCCCUGCUGGUGACCUGGAGGCCUGUGGAGUCCCGCAGGCUCCGGACGGUCCGUGGCGCCCGUCUGGCUUGCACCCUGGUGUGGACAGCAGUGAUGGUGGAGCUGCUGGUGCUGCAGGCCGCUGAACAUGCCCAGGACCUGUACCCUCAAGGACCUCUUCUGGGGCUGGUGCUGCGGGGGUGCCUGCUGAUAGCUCCCUUCCUCCGUGUGUUCUCUCACUGCCUGAGGGGGGCGCUGUGGCUGGGAAAUGCAUGGGUGUACUAUAUACUCUUUACCUACAGUCCUCAGCACAGGAAGAGUCACUUCCAUUAGCACCAUGUGAUGCUCGCCAGGAGCUAUGAGCUGCUGACAAACUUACAGAAGACAGCUUGGCUGCUGUUGGACUUGCUUCGUUUGUUUUUAUGUUGAUUUGAACUUUAUUGCAGUUUAUAUAUAGAGCUUUCUGUUCUUGGAAAUGUCCACAGCAGGGGGAAACAUUUCAAGGGUCAAAGAAAAUCACUGUGCUCAGAAAGACUGCUGGUAUUUAAAAUUAUAGACACUAAACUGAUAAACACAGUAUCAGUGAUUAUCAGGAUUUGUGCACUCAUUGUUCAUUGUUUAUAUGAUUAAUUUAUUAAUAAUAACUUUAAUGCUUUUUACCUGGUAAAAAAUGGGCAAUCAUUUGUGCUAGUAUGUGAAAUGUAUGUUUUGUCACUGCUGAAAAGAAUUAAAGGCAUACUGUGCAGGAUUUUUACCUUGAAAAUAUUAUAAAACAACCAUGCUAUGGCAUAUCUAUUAUGUGCUGGCAUUCUCUGUCUCUGGUCCCAGCUGGAAAUUUGUAAUGUCCGUUCCAAGUAAUCGAUGGGGGAAAUUUACCAGUAGUUUCUAAUGAAUUUCUGUGUGUCUGUGACUCAGGGGUGAGUGGACAGAGUUGAAGAUGAAGGAGGAGACUUCUUUGAUUGUAAACACAAGACCACAGCAAGGCAAAAAAAAAAUCUUGUAUUUGCCUUUAAUAAAAAAUGAAAAAUUAUACAAAAAUGAUUUAAAUGUUCCUCUUUCACUGCAGAAUUCAGGUGUUAGUGGAUUGUGGUAAAAAUAAAAAAAUAAUAAGCAUGCUGUUCAGCAAAG